AGCUCCAAUAGCGUAUAUUAAAAUUGCUGCAGUUAAAGCGUCCGUAGUUGGAUUACAUCCGCCUGGAAUAGAUGUCGACCGAUUCUCGUAAUUGGCCUAACGCUAUUCCUGAUGGAUUUGAACGUUUCAAUGCCUUGUGCGUUGUCACGUUCCGUUACUUUGAGCAAAUUGGAGUGCUCCAACCAGGCUUUAGCUUGAACAGCUCAGCAUGGAAUAACAAUGUAGGACUUUGGUUCUUCUUGUUGGUGACAUGAAUCAAAAGUAAUAAUUGAUAAGGACGUACGGGGGCAUUCGUACUUGAUGGAGAGAGGUGAAAUUCUAAGACCCAUCAAAGACAAACAAAUGCGAAAGCAUUUGCCCAGUGCGCACCUG
rnacentral:rRNA from 1 species